rnacentral:lncRNA from 1 species
AAGAAAUAUCCAUGAUCACAUCCUAUGUUCUGGAGACUACACGUCCAAGAUCAAUGUGCUGGGAGGGUCCUGUUCCCUCUGAAGUCUCUGGGGAAGGAUCUGUUCCAGGCUUCUCUUCCAGCUUCUGAUAAACCGUAUACACCUAGCAGCAUGGCCCAGUUGCUCUGGUGGUAGGUUUGGUGCACCCAUGGAACAGAAAGAGGCCAGGCAGGCUCCCAUCAGGACCAAACCCCAUGAGCUACAGUGGCUGCCAUCUUUUGCCUGAAACACCAGUGUCCACUGGUGAUAAGGUUUUACUUUGAGAAAACUUUCUUUUGGCCUCCAAACUUUGUCCUGACAUUGAGAGGAUACACAGUUUUGUUUUGUUUUUUAAUGGAUUGUGUCAUCUUAAAUUUCUGGCCCUGACUAUUGAUCAGAGUCUAUGAUGAACUGGCAAAGAGAAAAUUAUCUCUGCUUGUUACUGGUAUCUUACACUGGCAAAGAACUGAACGAUUUCUGGAGUUCUUCAUCUUUUACAUGAGUCAGGAAAAUCACACAUUUGGAGCAACUAUCAGUAAUAAUGACAUUAAUAAUUACAUUUUAUUUUUGUGAAGGUUACAAAGCAAUAUUAUGCAAACUAGUUCCCAUCAAUAUCCUUGAACUUGGUAUUCUUUGAUUUAUAACUGUGUGAGUCAAAGAUUAUACUGUAAAAUCAUUAAAGACUAACACAAUAAACAUCAGCUAAUGAUUUUCCAAUCUCAGUUUAAAGGUAUGGUUUAUGUUGAAAAUUCCCCACCCCCGUAAUAGAACCCCCUCAAAAAUCAUGAGAACAAGGAAUUGUAGCAAAUAAGCUGUUUGAGCCUUAGAAGCAGUACCUUAAGACAGAAACAUAAAAUCUCGGUGAGGGAAGAAACACUGAAGGUCAAACGUCUACCUAAAUCCUGCUCUACAUUCAAAUAUUCUUCCGCAGGGGAAGGCUCUAAACGCUCCUAAAAGCAUUUUGCAUUUCCUAGAUAGUGGAUUCUCCCUCUAAGCCAGUGGGUUCACAGGAGUAGGAAGGAGAACUGGGGGCAGUGGACAAUAAGGAAUUAGAAAAGGAGAAGAGGAAGGGAGAGAAACGGGAACUGCCUUAGGGAGAGAAGAGUGGAAAGUUUACAGGCACACUCGUUUUAUUGAGCUUCACUUUAUUGCACUUCGCAGAUACUAUAUUUUUUACAAAUGGAAGGUUGGAGCAAGUCUAUCCAUGCCAUUUUCCCAACAGCACAUACUCACUUUGUGUCUCUGUGUCACGUUUUGGUAUUCUCGCAAUAUUUCAAACUCGUUCCCAGUUUGUAUAUCUGUUAGGAUGAUUUGUGGUCAGCAAUCUUUGGUGCUACUAUUGUAACUCUUUGGAGGGCUCCACAAACCAUGCCCACAUAAGACGGCAAACUUAAUUGAUAAAUACUGUGUGUGUUCUGACUGCUCCACCGACCAACCAUUCCCACUUCUCUUUCUGUCUUCUCAGUCCUCCCUGUUCCCCAAGACACAACAAUAUUGAAAUUAGACCAGUGAAUAACCCUACUAUAAUCUUGGGCGACAUAGUGAGACCCUGUCUCUAGAAAACAUUUAAAAUUAUUAACUGGGCUAGGCCAGGCGCAGUGGCUCACACCUGUAAUCCCAGCACUUUGGGAGGCUGAGGCGGGCAGAUCACCUGAGGUCAGGAGUUUGAGAUAAGACUGGCCAACAUGGUGAAACCCCGUUUCUACUAAAAAUACAAAAAUCAGCUGGGCGUGGUGGUGGGCACCUGUAAUUCCAGCUACUCAGGAGGCUGAGGCAAGAGAAUCGCUUAAAUCCAGAAGGUGGAGGUUGCAGUAAGCUGAGAUUGCACCAUUGCACUCCAGUGUGGGCAAGAAGAGUGAAACACUAUCUGAAAAAAAAAAAAAAUUAGCUGGGCUUUGUGGUGAGCACCUGUAGACCCAGCUACUUGGGAAGCUGAGGUGGAAGGAUCACUUGAACUCAGGAGGUCAAGGCCGCAGUGAGCCGUGUUCACACCACUGCACUCCAGCCUGGCUGAUAAAGUGAGACCCUGUCCCCCAAACAAACAAACAAACAAACAACAACAAC